GACGAACGCUGGCGGCGUGCCUAAUACAUGCAAGUUGAGCGCUGAAGGUUGGUACUUGUACCGACUGGAUGAGCAGCGAACGGGUGAGUAACGCGUGGGGAAUCUGCCUUUGAGCGGGGGACAACAUUUGGAAACGAAUGCUAAUACCGCAUAAAAACUUUAAACACAAGUUUUAAGUUUGAAAGAUGCAAUUGCAUCACUCAAAGAUGAUCCCGCGUUGUAUUAGCUAGUUGGUGAGGUAAAGGCUCACCAAGGCGAUGAUACAUAGCCGACCUGAGAGGGUGAUCGGCCACAUUGGGACUGAGACACGGCCCAAACUCCUACGGGAGGCAGCAGUAGGGAAUCUUCGGCAAUGGACGAAAGUCUGACCGAGCAACGCCGCGUGAGUGAAGAAGGGUCUCGGAUCGUAAAACUCUGUUGGUAGAGAAGAACGUGGGUGAGAGUGGAAAGCUCAUCAAGUGACGGUAACUACCCAGAAAGGGACGGCUAACUACGUG
rnacentral:rRNA from 1 species